AUCCUUUACAAAACUCCCCACAUGUAAUAUUCUCCUCAAUUCAAGGCUGAGGUAGCCUAAGAAUAGGGUGGCAUUUGCAUUUUACAAAAGAGGAAGUGGCACCUACAGGACACCAGGGGCUUCUCCCAGGGCCAGAGGGAAGCCCCAGCCUAGGCGUCUGAGUCCUAUGCCAGGAACCUGCGGCCCCUCCUGGAGUGGGUAGAGAAUGGAGCACUCACCCACCCAGAAAAGUCCCUUGUUAUUAGUCAUUGGCUUCCCUCUGCAGAAUGAAUGACCAUAUUGUCAUGCUUCUUAUUUGGGCUAUAAAUGUAACUGACCUUGGGCCAUGCUGAUGCAGGAAACUGAGCUCUGAAUUGAAUGAUACUUGAUUGUGUUCAGGCUCACAUAUUUUUCUUAAGAGUCAAAGAAUAAUUAGUCUGGGUAACUACUUAGAGAUCUCAAAGAGAUAAGAGUAAAAUUCUGUAAUGUAAUGCAGUAAGGAUUGUUCAGGCAAGACUUAAGAUUUUGCCGGUAGGGUUCCUCCAAGCUUGGCCUCUGGAGAGCGCUGUCCCACUGAGCAAGACAUAGGCUAUUCAUCAAUUUGAUGGGAGAGUUUGUUAAUAAAAUAAUUUUUUAAAUUACUAAUUUUUAUGCAUUUAUUUGGAAAUACGUCAGACAGUAGGCUAGGUCUGUGGUUGCAGUUUUGAAAAUGGUAAGGUCCCUGACCUCGGAUUCUAGUGGGACUCUGAUGAGAAGAAACUGAUUUUAUGUACCUAAUUGAUUUUGGAAAAACCACUAAUUCUUUUUCAGUUGAACUAGUUUGCUUUAUUUUAGAAGUCUGUGCCUUAUCCUACAAAUGUUGUACAGAAACCUUUUUGUUGCAGAGCCCUUAAUUAUAUAGUAUGUUGUUACACAACCAACCUGGGAGGGAGGUGAAGGGAUCCUUCUCCCCAUUUCACAGAUGAGGAAGUGAAGAUUUGAGAAGUUCAGAUAUGGUGAGCCUGCUUCCUCAUUGUCUCGGAUAGUCCUGACUUCUGCUGCUUGUCCUGGAGUAAUUAUCAGUACCACCCCAUUUCACUCCCACAAGUGCCCUGUUUUGGGUGAUAAAUUGCACUGCUGGCUGAAGUUUAAAAGACUUGUUCCAGUAAGUGGAGGACUUGGCCCUUGAACUCAGAUUUUUAAUACCAAACUAGUUUUUCUUUCUACUAAGACAAAAGAAUGUAACACUUGAUUUAGACAGUUUGAUUGACUAAUACAAUGGAAGAUAAGUUUCCCACAUCCUCAUCUGUGUUCUAAAUCAGAACUUCACUUAGGUGUUACUGGACCUAAGAAAGGAGGAAGUUCCUGCUGGCACACUAGUUAGUUAAUAAAGUUGAAUGACUGGGCUCCUGGAGCAGAGAGAGACCUUUGGGGACCCUAUGGGUCCCACCGCUGAUGAUUGGCUGGACUUGCAGUUUUGCUGAUGCUUGGGUUUGAGUGGAACAGGCUGAUUAGCUGGAAAGCUGGACUGGGUGCUGUGUUUAACCCUUAAAAUUCUCUGCUUGUCUCACUCACAUAUUUUGGGAAGAUUGUAUGCUGGAGCGGCCUUCAACUUGCCGAGGUUGCAGGGAGACAUCUCUUUAAUAUAGAAUGUUUUCCAAUCAUUGGACACCUAAUUUGCUUUGAUUAUCAGUCUGAUGGUCAGACAGCCUUUUAGAGAUUAUCCAGCCUGGAACAAGCAAUGCUUGGCAUUCUAGCUCAGACAGAGCAGUGGGCGGUGGGGAGGGACACUCGCCACCUAGAGGUAGCUUUGUGAUUGGUACAGCACCUGGGCCUCAGUCCUUUGGAGAAAUUCCCAGGAGGGUGCUGCUGUCUGAUGGGCCUGGCAGCUGGCCUCUGGCUCCUGAGGGGCACAGCUCACCCCACUUGAAGUUGGAGCCCAUGGAGAGGGCGGCUCCUUCGGGGAAGCCCAGCUCAGCAGUGCGGCGGCUACAGGAUCGAGCCUAGUGCUGCCAUGACAUCGGCAGUCAGCACAGGUUUCAUUAGUUGGAAUUAACAACUGUUAAUCCCACCUCUGUGGCUGACACCUGUACUGCCUCAGGUGUGUCACUUUGUAAAGUAAUAAUGGUGGUGAUCCAUCUCAGGAGACUGAGGUGUUGAUCAGGUGCCCUCUGUCAUUCUAGACAGGAGCUGUGAAAAAUGAGGAGUUGCCUGCACUGCUGCCUCUGACCUGGGCCUACAGUUCAGUGUCUGAAAUGUGUAGGGUCCGUGCUUUUCAGUGACACACGUUUGUUCAAUAAAUUACGUAAUCUAAGAGGUUAUCUCUAAUCCUGGCUUUGUCUAAGUUUUUAAGGCAGCAAGUGAAUGACUGAAUGGGAGUGAAUAGAGGAAACCAGCCAGGUUUCCCAAAGAAAGACCUGUUUCCUGUACAGAGACUUUUGCUGCAGCAGUAACAUCAAAAUAUCCUACAUAAAACCAGAUUUCUAAAUCGGUGUGAUGGAAUUUCCUUUUAGAUGCUGACUCCAUCAAAGCAUUAAAAAUGUGUGCUAGUAAAAAUUGGCAAAUGUAUUGUUAUUUUAUUGAACAGUAGAAGAGUCUAAAUGUUAUUUUAUGGAAAACUUCAUUUCCUGCCAUGUGUUUUAACUUAGGGCAUGACUAGUUGAGGUUUCAGUUGCGAAAUCUUUUGAUCCAUUAAGUAUGAGAACAUGUACAAAUGUUAAAACGUGUAGUUUCUCCAUCAUGUUUUGCUUAUUCAUAAAAAUAAGGAAUGGUACAUACCAAGGGCCAUGAUUACAAAUCUUAAUUACAUGAAACUAGCUUUACAGUGAAAUAAGGAUGUGGCUUUCAAAAAGACUUUGCUAAUAGUUUUGAUCCACUUUGCUAAAAAUCUUUAUAUAGCCUAUAGUAUUUUUAUUAAAGUGUUAAAAGGGAGGCGUGUCUUUAAAAAUCAUGAGUUGUGCAAGGUAUUUUGUGCGACCAGUUAUAGCAGUUUGCCAAAAUGAUUAGGAUUACCAGUAACAAGUGUAUGAACAUUUAUAUAAAUACCAAUAGACAUAAAGUGUGAACAUUUUUGGUCAUAAAGACUAUCCAAAGGAAAAUACCACUUUUUCAACAGAAAAUGUAGCUUCUUUCCCUCCACUGAAUUUUCUAUUUAGACGUUAGCAAAUGAUAGGUGAUCAUUUCAUGUAGUCUAUCUAGCCUUUGAUGUGAAGUAUGCUCACAUGAUUCAGCUUCUGUAAUAAGAUACUGGGCCCUGUCCCCCUCUCCCCCCCCGUUAAGUAUGAAUCUGGGGUUCCAUGGCUCUUGGGGAUGUGUUGAAAGCUCACACAUAUCUAGUUUUAUUAAGGAAUCUGACAGAUGUCAGUUAAACUGCUGUAAAAGAAACAAUGUAGCUCUUGGCUGUGUUUUUACGAAUUCUUGUGCUGAAAGAAAAUAAUGAAUGUUUAUAAAAUCAACAUUUCUUUUUAUAAGCAACACAAAAAAGAAAGUAGUAUAAUGGAGAGUCCUCUGAUGAUUUUGUACAUGUUUUGUACUACAUGUUUUUGUAGUAAGAUACUUAAUAUAGAGUGUGUGGCAAAGGAAAAUUCUGUUCUGCUGAGAAACCCCUGCCUUCUGUGACCUCUCCCACAGUUUUGGACAUGAAUCUAGAUUUUCUUUAGUGGCUCCCCACCUUCCCCCAUUUGUUAAACAUCAGAAGGCUCCUGAUCUUCUAAUUUUUGUUCUAGAAACCAAUUUUAAGUGACUUUAAGUUCAUUUUCAUUCAUUCUUUGAAUAUUUACUGAAUCUUACUAUAUGCUUUGAGCCCUGUGCUUGACCUGUGGAGCUGACACAGAUGUAAAUUCAUGUAAAUUCUACCCAGUACCUGAUCUCAGGAGGCGUGUGAAUGUGUGGUGGAAAAGGCAUAUUCAUGAGCAUUUACAUUUACAUUAACACAUGCUAAGUAUGAUAAGAAAGGCAGAAACAUUUUAUUGGUAGAGUUGAGAGGAUGGAGAGAAGCAUGAAGACCUCAGGCAGAGGGCUAGUAUUUGAGCAGUGCCUGGGAAGGGUAGGUAGGAGGCUGACAGGACUGAGAGAGUGGUGCAUGCCCAGUGACCCAGGCAAGGGUUUUGGGAUGUAGGCAAGUGUCAUGUGUCUUUGAGGACCAACUAGCAAGUUGUCCAGUUUGGCUGGUAAACCACUAGCACAGGGAUCUGGGAGUUCAAGCUGGUAUGAGUUACAAAAGCCUUUUAUCAUUUUUAAAUUUUAUUUUACUUGAGUGUGAGAGCCCUUGAAGGUUUUUCAGCUGGAGAGUAACUUAGUGAAGUUGGAAUAGGCACCUGUUGACUGAUCUGCAAGAGAAAGGCUCAGGUAGCAGUCCAAGUGAGACGAAAGAAAUUCUUGGCUCAGGCUGGUGGUAAGUGAGCAAGGAGAGGAAAAGACAUGAGCUGAAUUCAUGGAACUUGGCUAUGUGAAAAUGCCUGGAAGUCAAAUACUGUGUGUGUGUGUGUGUGUGUGUGUGUGUGUGUGUGUGUACACCGACUGAAAGUCAAAUACUGUGUGUGUGUGUGUGUGUGUACACCGACUGAAAGUCAAAUACUGUGUGUGUGUGUGUACUGACUGAAAAUGAAUUUGACUUUAUUGAGUCCAAAUAGGCUGUAGAAUUGAAACCCUGAUGAUGGAAAGCAGCUGAUUUUGGGGGCCCUCUGAGAACAAGAGUACCUUCCCCACUUCUGCAUCUCCAUUGUAAGGAACUAUGUUCAAGAACAGUUUGUGGAAGGAAUGGUUGUGGUGGAUUUGAUUAUACACGUGAGUUUACCACUGGCCAGGACCAUCAGGGCCAAGGAUAAGGGCCAAGCAGACCUGGCUUUGAAUCUUGACUCAGCCAUUUCUGAAUGAUCUUGAGCAAGUUACUGAGCCUUUCGGUUUCCUUAUCUGCAGAAUGGAGGAUAACACUGUGUCUUGAUUUUUGCUAAAGGAAUUAGUGCACAUAACACAUUGAUCCCAGCUCUGGUGUACUCCUGAGAUAAGUGCUCCUCAGACAUUGGCUGUUGUUACUCACAGGGCAGUGUGGGUGUGGGCCUGUGGUUGGCAGAAAAGGCAUGAUGAAUUGGGGUGGGGGCUUAGUAGCUCUGGGAAUAUUGGAGGCCACAGCCUAGAAGGAGGCAGUUUAGAGAAAGUGCUCACUGAGGCAGCGCUAAAGGAGAGGCAGGAGGGGACCCAGAGAGCUCAGUGUCAGCUCUCCCAGGCAAGGAGAAUGUUUUAGGGAGGCAAGAAAGUAAAAAGGAUCCCAGUCGGGGAGAUCAGGGAGGGUGAGAACUGACACUGGACAUUGAGUUUGGCUGUUUGGGAAGACGUCCACUAGCUUUGGAAGGCGAAGAGGCAGGAGAACAGAAGCCAGUUGCCUCUGGCGAUGGAAUGCAGUGAGGAAAAAGGGAAAUUCUGACCGGUAGGGAUCAGUGGGGGCAGGUAGGAAAGGCAGAAUUUCUAAAAUACAAAAUAAUUGAUAGGAUGUGAUAGAAUGACCACCAUACUUUACAGGUGUUUAUUGUAGCCCAGGAGGACAGUCCUGAGGGUGCAGGGCUUAGUCUGAGGUUCUGCAUGGCAGCACUGGUAUGGUGGCAUAUGAACAAUAAAUGAGUAAAAAUAUAUAAUGUAAUAAAUACUAAUACACUGAUCAUAAUUAAUGCAAUAAGAUACACAUAAUGGACAUUUGAUAAGUAUUUCCUUUGGGCCAGCAGCAUUACAAGUGUUUUGCAUGUAUUAUCUCAUUUAAUCCUGCCAACAGCUCUCGGCUGUAGGUGGUGGUGUUCUCAUUUUACAGCUGAGGGGGGCUAGGUAAGGUGCCCAGAGUCACACAGCUGGGAAGUAAAUGGUGGAGUCAGGAUUGAGUACCAGGGAUCUAGCCCUAGAACCCAUGCUAUUAACAGCCAUACUAUGUUACUUUUAUUUAGUUGAACUGUUUAGGAUGAGCACUAGAUGAGCAUUGUUAGGUGGCAUUAGAUAUCAUCGUGUCUAAUAGGUCUAGAGAGAGGAAAAGUGCACAUGAGGGGAAGGGCUGGUGGGAGCUGGUGAGGCAGUGUUUCAGGAGGUGGGCAUGACUAGGGUUAGAAAGCAGGCAGAGAGUGUGGAAGAUUCUGCUUUCAGGGAGAAGAGGAAAGGAUUGCUAAAGAUAGAGAGGCAAGGAAUUUUAUAGGAGUAAAAGAAAGGUAGAAGGUUUUAAGAGAGAUUUUGAUAUGAGGGAUACCACCAUCCAUCUUGAGAACUUUCCAGUGGAUUUUUAAGAUUUGUCUCCUGAUAAUUUGAUUCAUCCUAGUUCUGUUAGAGACAGGGGCCUGAAUAAGCUAGCAUUAGGGUGGGAGGUCUGGAGGCUCAGUGACCCUGAUGGCUGCUCAAGUUGCUCUCUAGUAACCCAUGUAGGUAACACCGUCCAAGAAGAAUGACCACCCUUUGGUGCUACUGACCUGGUGUGCUCCCAGAACUGGAUGGAAGGCAGUAGGAGGUUGCCCAAAGGUGGAAGAAAUAAAGAAUGAAGGAAGCUGAGACAUGAUGGAUUUGACAGGUGUUGAGACAGGGAUGACACUUCACUGAAGACUGCCUGACUCACCCCUUACGAUUUUCUAAAAACCAGAUAGGUCAUUUAGAAUAGUGCUCCUCAAACUGCCUGUAGGGAAGGGCUGUUUUGUUGUUAUUUUAAGAUUGUGGACUGUUUAUAUUUCUCAAACUGUCUCUAGCACAGGGCUGUUCUGUUAUUUUAAGGUUGUGGACUGUUUAUAUUUUGCAAAAUACAAUAAAAUAAAAUUAGAAAAAAUUAAAGACACUAAAGAAUGUAAA